UACGGAGGGGGCGAGCGUUAUUCGGAAUUAUUGGGCGUAAAGGGCGCGUAGGUGGCCAACUAAGUCAGACGUGAAAUCCCUCGGCUUAACCGGGGAACUGCGUCUGAUACUGGAUGGCUUGAGUUCGGGAGAGGGAUGCGGAAUUCCAGGUGUAGCGGUGAAAUGCGUAGAUAUCUGGAGGAACACCGGUGGCGAAGGCGGCAUCCUGGACCGACACUGACGCUGAGGAGCGAAAGCCAGGGGAGCAAACGGG
rnacentral:rRNA from 1 species